GCAACAAAUGUAGUCAUGGCAAUAGAAUGUUCUAUAACAUUGUUCGCCAGUCUUCGGCGCUUACAGAAUUCCUAGUAAUUUUCACUCGUUCAUCUGAGGCUGAGAGCAAAAUGCUGCUGGAAAUUCAAGCCUAUUAAGUGUGUAUCACUGUUGGAGUGACAUGUCUUGAGCUCUCAAAUCUUGUAACAAACCCAGUAGUUAAGAAGGAGCGGUGAAAUGUUUACGAGCCGAUCACAAAAGGGAAAUAAAUCUUCAGUCUCGCAUUGCGGAUCACUGGAGUGACCUUGUGAAGACAAGCCCAGGACUGAGAGCACAUUGCUCCAUCCAAUAAGCACAGUGGUUCCAAAUGAGAGUGGGAAAAACUGCUGCCCAGCACCAUGGCGGAAUCACGAAUAACAUUACUCGCCCCAGAUGGAGAGCGCAAAUGUCCAAGGCCCCAACAAAACACAACAGACGAAAGCCCUAUUCAGGAGCAAGAGGAGGACAAGGUGAAGUGGUUCUGGGAUUACCUCACAAGUGGCUGGAGCUAUUUGUUGAAACCCUUCAAAUGGGGCUGGAGUUGCGUGUCGCAGGUCUGGUACUUCCUGCUUUAUAGCUGCAGCUUCCCAUGUGACAAUGAAUGGCCGCUGAGCGAGUGCGAUUCCUCGCGGAGUAGCUGGAGGUCCUAUGUAGGAGACAGAGCUCCCCCCAACAUCCUGUUUUACUGCUGCCUCAAACGCUCUUUCACGACCUUCCUAAGCGACUGGCGAACUCUGACGGGCGAUCGGAACCCCCUGAUCACCCUCUACAACUUCCUCGGGCGCUGUUGCCAGUCCCUGCGGCAUGGCUGGCACUCCAUGACCAGGAGGACACGCUCAGGUUUCUGGGAGCCGGCGGCUUCGUGCGGCAGCUCCAGCAGACUCAGCCCGAACCUGGUCAGCUUGUGCCUGGAGCCCCUGGCGCGCUGUUGGCACAAGUUCCGCAGCGGCUGUGAUUCGUGCCUGCGGGGCUGGAACAUGCUGGCAGUGUGCUACGGUGCUGUCUCUUGGUUCGGGGAUUUCCUGAGCCGGAGCUGGCUCUGGGCCGCUCGGAGCUGCUCCUCUCUGGGUGACUGCUGUGGCUCCCUCUCUCGCCUCUGGCGUAUCCUCAUGCUGUGCUGCCACUUCAUCGCUCGCUGCUCAAACCUCCUCAAACGGCGUUAACCCGCAGAUUCAGCAUCAGAGCAUUUCUUUCCUAAUCCAUUCCAGUUGUUUUUUUUAAAGAAAAGUACAUUUCACAUCUCCCUGACUCUUUAGAACCGGGGCUGCCUGAUAUGAAAUUACCUCUUUAUGACUGGGGUGACUUCCGAUUAGAAACACUUGAGUGAUACUAAAUCACUGGAACCAAUCCCGAAUACAGCUAUAAAUAACGUGAAACCUCCAACAACUGAGGUUUCAUUCAUUCCAGUGCAGAAGAAAUUGACCAGUUUUGUUAACAUAUGAAAGCAGCUCACCUAAUACCUUUACCUUCAUGUAUGAUGCAAUUCUUCGAACUCGACAGAACUCCAUUUUUUAAAAAAGCUUGAAUCAAGACAAGUCCUAAACUUGGACGCAAGCCACUGUUUGUCUCUCAUAGCCAUUUCUUAAUAUUAUCGUCACGAGUGUCCUAACAUACUUCAUCUUCCAGAUGCCUCACAGCACCCUUCCUGUUCCGGGAGCAAAAGUCUUCAAUUUACGUUUCUAAAGUGUAAUACACCCGAACCUCGCGAAUAGAUCCUGCUCGGUACUUUAUUGGGCCGGCACCUUACAGUUGUGUUUGAAACAUUGCUCACUGAGGUUAAGAGCCCAUACGUAAACAUGAGCCCUAUUAGUGUGAUGGAUCAAAAUAGACUCACGAUGGGAUCCAAGGAAGCAAUUAGGAUCACGAGUGGUCAGUGCACAGUGCCGGCGUUGGGUUCACAUUUUCAGCAGAAUUUCUCUGGAUCACCGAGCAGUCAGUUUUCUGAUGGGACACCUAAUCAUGCAAGCAGGAUCCAACCAUUGAAUCUGAUAGCCCGUUAGUCACCGCAGGCAGGCAAACAGCUUCUCCAUCAGGGAUGGUGCAAUGGAUUAAAGUUAUGAGUAUCUACAAUCUCACCUAUCCAGGAUACUGGCCUUGUUCUGAAUGGAGCUUCAGUAUAAAUAAUCUUUGAGAGUAUACCUCCAGAAAGAUUGGUGAAUCGCCUUAGGAAUUAUGGAAUGAGUUACUCACUACAGAACUCCCAAUCUUUGGCUUGCUCUGGGACCACUAGAUGUCAUUCUGCUAUUCAUCAGUUUGUUUUAUGCUGAGGAGCCUAUCACUGAAGAGAGUUCAGAACUGAGCAGGACAAGACAAUAAAUACUUAGAAGAUAUUGUGAAUAUGAGAGACAACAGCGUUGAUAGCAUCCAACAGUGCAUUGAUGAAAUUGAGGAACAAGACUGAAGUGAGCACAUUUUCUAUGAUCACAUAAGUGAUCAUUGCAUUGUUAGAAUAAAAAGAAAACAUGUACAUCUGUUGAUUGUGUCCUCUGUGUAUGUUACUCAUGGCGAUGGAUUUUACCAGGAGAUGCUAAUUGAAAAGUCCAUGGUGAGAAACUGGGCCAUCUGUAAUUAGACCAGAGUGGGACCUCUGUCUCUGCUGGCACCUCUGUAAUCCCAACAGUAUCAGAACUAAGUAGUGACCAUUGCUGGGACUGUAGGCAGCCCAGGAAAAUAAAAAGAUGAUGAAACUGGACUUCACAUAAGCUGAGGAUCUUAGUCAGGCUGUGGUGGACCCCCCCGAGUGCAGCAAAUAGAAAGAAGGAGGAGUUCCAAGGCCAGGGAUGUGUAUAAUCUUUAGGAAUGGAAGGGGGUUGUUUUGGGUAUUCCCUGAUGAACACAGGGAACCUUGCUAAAAAUAAAUACGCACCUUUUCUGCUAUGAUUAGUUCACUUAAGGACCUCGAGAUGCCCAAGGGUGGACAGGUUGCCCAAUGCAAUGUUUCCCCCCCCACCACCUCAGUAAUAUGGGACACAAGUCCACGGUAGUGGGAAGGUGGUGGGCAGAUUCAUUUACUUUACAAGACCCGUUCACUCAUUCAUCUU